UUUUGGACAAUGGGGGCAACCCUGAUCCAGCAAUGCCGCGUGAGUGAAGAAGGCCUUCGGGUUGUAAAGCUCUUUUGUCAGGGAAGAAACAGCAGCUCUAACACAGUCUGCGAAUGACGGUACCUGAAGAAUAAGCACCGGCUAACUACGUGCCAGCAGCCGCGGUAAUACGUAGGGUGCGAGCGUUAAUCGGAAUUACUGGGCGUAAAGCGUGCGCAGGCGGUUAUACAAGACAGGCGUGAAAUCCCCGGGCUUAACCUGGGAGUGGCGCCUGUGACUGUAUAGCUAGAGUGUGUCAGAGGGGGGUAGAAUUCCACGUGUAGCAGUGAAAUGCGUAGAUAUGUGGAGGAAUACCAAUGGCGAAGGCAGCCCCCUGGGAUAACACUGACGCUCAUGCACGAA
rnacentral:rRNA from 1 species